CCUACGGGGGGCAGCAGUGGGGGAUAUUGCACAAUGGGGGAAACCCUGAUGCAGCGACGCCGCGUGGGUGAAGAAGCGCCCCGGCGCGUAAAGCCCUGUCAGCAGGGAAGAAAAUGACGGUACCUGAAGAAGAAGCCCCGGCUAACUACGUGCCAGCAGCCGCGGUAAUACGUAGGGGGCAAGCGUUAUCCGGAUUUACGGGGUGUAAGGGGGGCGCAGACGGCGAUGAAAGCAAGGAGUGAAAGCCCGGGGCCCAACCCCGGGACUGCUCUUGGAACUGCGUGGCUAGGGUGCAGGAGGGGCAGGCGGAAUUCCUGGUGUAGCGGUGAAAUGCGUAGAUAUCAGGAGGAACACCAGUGGCGAAGGCGGCCUGCUGGACUGCAACUGACGUUGAGGCCCGAAAGCGUGGGGAGCAAACAGGAUUAGAUACCCUGGUAGUC
rnacentral:rRNA from 1 species